rnacentral:lncRNA from 1 species
AACGUUUCCAUUCGGCAGCUGUAGGGCUGCUGCUCCUGACUAUGCAAUGUGGUUGUUGAGAGCUCUGAGAGCUGGAGAGAGGCAACCCUUUGCUUUCAUCUGCCAACACGUAUGAGACACUGACAAGCCAGGGAAGUUGUUAAUUGUGUGUUGGUAUACAUUUGAGCAGAGGCAUGGAAUAGAGGCACAGACUAAAGGUCAGGUCUGGAAAGGGAAUUAACAUUUUUAUUCCCAGUCUCAUGA